rnacentral:rRNA from 1 species
UACAGAGGUCUCAAGCGUUGUUCGGAUUCAUUGGGCGUAAAGGGUGCGUAGGUGGCGCUGUAAGUCGGGUGUGAAAUUUCGGAGCUUAACUCCGAAACUGCAUUCGAUACUGCGGUGCUUGAGGACUGGAGAGGAGACUGGAAUUCAUGGUGUAGCAGUGAAAUGCGUAGAGAUCAUGAGGAAGACCAGUGGCGAAGGCGGGUCUCGUGGACAGUUCCUGACACUGAGGCACGAAGGCCAGGGGAGCAAACGGG